CCGUGGGCGACUGCGGGUCUGAAGGAAGCCGGAGGGCAAAGCGCUGGCCUGACGAACAGGAAGCGGAUACGAGGCGGCGCGCCGGGGUGAGAUGGCCAUAUUCAUCAAAGCCCGGUACUUGCACGGAACGGUGCGUCGUAGAUCCGCCAGGCAUAAGCGUGAAGGUGGGUGCG
rfam:Reticulomyxa filosa contig37031_1.exp, whole genome shotgun sequence.